UGAGUCGACCGGGUGGUCGCGCGCGGCAACGCGCGAGGAAAGUCGGGGCUCCACAGGGCGGAGUGCUCGCGAAAGGCGAGUCACGGUGACGUGCAGGACAGUGCCACAGAGAGAAGACCGCCGAUGGCGUUAGCACAGGUAAGGGUGAAAGGGUGCGGUAAGAGCGCACCAGCGCCGCGGGUGACCGCGACGGCUCGGUAAACCCCACUCGGAGCAAGACCAAAACUGGGAUCGCGGCCCGCGUGCUCGAAAGGGCGUCCCAAGGUAGGUUGCUCAGAUGGAUGGCCACCACGCCCGUCAAGGGCGUACAGAACCCCGCUUACAGGUCGACUCGCUAU
rnacentral:RNase_P_RNA from 1 species